AGCUCCAAUAGCGUAUAUUAAAGUUGUUGCAGUUAAAAAGCUCGUAGUUGAAUUUUGGCGUUGGCUGGGUGGUCUUUGCGAACGCAUAGCACUUUUCCGGCUGACGCUUUCCUUCUGGCGAAUAAUUGUGCUAUUUAUUUAGUGCGAUUGGGAACCAGGACUUUUACUUUGAAAAAAUUAGAGUGUUUAAAGCAGGCUUACGCUUGAAUACAUUAGCAUGGAAUAAUAAAAUAGGACUUUGGUUUUAUUUUGUUGGUUUUCGAAACCAAAGUAAUGAUUAAUAGGGAUAGUUGGGGGCAUUAGUAUUGAGCCGUCAGAGGUGAAAUUCUUGGAUUGGCUCAAGACUAACUUCUGCGAAAGCAUUUGCCAAGGAUGUUUUCAUUAAUCAAGAACGAAAGUA
rnacentral:rRNA from 1 species